GCAUAUCAAUAAGCGGAGGAAAAGAAACCAACCGGGAUUGCCUCAGUAACGGCGAGUGAAGCGGCAAGAGCUCAAAUUUGAAAGCUGGCUCCUUCGGAGUCCGCAUUGUAAUUUGCAGAGGAUGCUUUGGGUGCGGCCCCCGUCUAAGUGCCCUGGAACGGGCCGUCAGAGAGGGUGAGAAUCCCGUCUUGGGCGGGGUGUCCGUGCCCGUGUAAAGCUCCUUCGACGAGUCGAGUUGUUUGGGAAUGCAGCUCUAAAUGGGUGGUAAAUUUCUCCUAAGGCUAAAUAUUGGCGAGAGACCGAUAGCGAACAAGUACCGUGAGGGAAAGAUGAAAAGAACUUUGAAAAGAGAGUUAAAAAGUACGUGAAAUUGUUGAAAGGGAAACGAUUGAAGCCAGUCGUACCGACGAGAAAUCAACUCUUCGAAUGGGUAAUUGCGGGCGUAUGAGAGCUUCACGGCCUCAUCGUUUGCAAAUGCAUUGUUCUUUGGGUGUACUUUUUCGUAUGGUUUGUCAACGUCGGUUUCGAUUGCUAUAAAAUGAUCGGAGGAAUGUAGCUUCGACUUCGGUUGAAGUGUUAUAGCCUUUGGUAGAUGUAGUGAUUGGGACCGAGGAUUGCAACGAAUACCCUUUGGGCUAUCCGUCUGACCUCUGAAAGUUGCUUAGGUGCCGAAAGCGUGCUUACGGUUAUUUAAGCCAGCGGUCAAAAGGUUAGAACGUGAUUAAAUUCGUUAAGGAUGUUGACGUA
rnacentral:rRNA from 1 species